CGACCGGCGCACGGGUGAGUAACGCGUAUGCAACCUGCCUGAUACCGGGGUAUAGCCCAUGGAAACGUGGAUUAACACCCCAUAGUACUUUUAUCCUGCAUGGGAUGUGAGUUAAAUGUUCAAGGUAUCGGAUGGGCAUGCGUCCUAUUAGUUAGUUGGCGGGGUAACAGCCCACCAAGACGAUGAUAGGUAGGGGUUCUGAGAGGAAGGUCCCCCACAUGGAACUGAGACACGGUCCAA
rnacentral:rRNA from 1 species